CCUAUUUACGAUCAUAACUUAGUAAUUUUUUUAUGUAGAUUUUACCGUCCGUCCCUAGAACAAGUGGCAAAGAGCUUGUUGAUUGGUAUCCGAGACCCAAGUUCGAAUUCUAGUUGAUUCACAAUUCCAGCUAAGUUUAUUUCUAAAUGAGAUAAACGAAACGGGUAGCGUGCUACCUAUCUCUCAAAAAAAAAUAUUUUGAUGUAGAAUGUAGUUCCCGAAUCUUUUGAAUGGUACAAUAUUUUAAACAAACUCUACAGGCAUGUUUUCUAAAUCUUUAUUAAUUAUUAUUAAAUUUGUUUCUUUAGAAGAAGGCAGCAUGCUACCUACUUUAUUUUUUUUUUAGAAAUAAACGUAGCUUAAAAUGUGAAGCAAUUAGGCUUCGAAUUUAGGACCUUAAAUAUCAACUAUCAUUUAUCAAGUUUUUUGUUACUUACGUUAAGAACAGUUGAUAAUUAUUAUUAAAUUUGUUAUAAAUUUAAUUUAGAAUAUGUUCUAUGUGUUAUUACUAUUAUAAUUUUUUAAUUUUUUCUCGCAUGAUAAUCGUGGUGAUCAUAAACUAUUUAUCAUCCCGUCCCUCACGUCUCAUACUUCUUUUGGCCAGGAUUUUUUUUUUUUUUAGAGAAAAAUAGCAAUCUAUCUGUUUCAUUCAUUAAAUAAAACGAACUGAGCAUAUAUAAUAAAAGCAGCUAAUACCUCUGAAGAUAAGGCAAAGGAGGAAACAACAAAAAAAGAAAAAAAAAAGACGAGGAAAAGGAGGGAGGAAGACUAGCAGCUCGUUAGUGCAGCGUGGUCCAGUUGGUCGUCAAAAAGUUGACCGGUAUUAAUCCUACUACUUGGCCAGGAUUAAUUGUACUAUUCGCCCUCCCCCAUGAAGAACCAAAGAUGACAGUCAAAGUGAAGGAGUACUGAACUGCACAUAGCCUCCGUUUGGUUCGGGGUUAAGGAAAAAUUAGUUAUUGCAGGGAUAGAGUUAAGUUCAGGGUUAAAGUGGGGUUAAAGUUUUUUUGUGUUUGGUUGGGGGUUGGAGUUAGUCUAGAAUAAUGAAAAAUAGUGUUUGGUUGAAGUAGGUGGAAUAAGAAGAUAAUGAUUGAUAAAGAAGAAUAAUGAUUGGUUGGAAUAGGUGGGAUAAGAAAGAUAGUAGGUUAUUAUGAAUAGAAAAUAGUGUUUGGUUGGAGUUUGGUGGGAUUAGCUAAUCCGGAAUUAUUUAUUUGAGGUGGGGUUAGGUGGGGUUAGCUAACCCCACCCAUUUUUUAGGGUGUUUGGGGAUAAUAUGGGAGUUAAGAGGUUACAG
rnacentral:lncRNA from 1 species